rnacentral:rRNA from 1 species
AGGACGAACGCUGGCGGCGUGCUUAACACAUGCAAGUCGAGCGGAAAGGCCCUUCGGGGUACUCGAGCGGCGAACGGGUGAGUAACACGUGAGCAACCUGCCCUUAGCUCUGGGAUAGCUCCGGGAAACCGGAAUUAAUACCGGAUAUGACCUAGGCCGACAUCGGCCGUGGUGGAAAGUUUUUCGGCUAGAGAUGAGCUCGCGGCCUAUCAGCUUGGUUGGUGGGGUAACGGCCUACCAAGGCGACGACGGGUA